rnacentral:rRNA from 1 species
UACGAAGGGGGCGAGCGUUGUUCGGAAUUACUGGGCGUAAAGGGCGCGUAGGCGGCACAGCAAGUCGGGAGUGAAAGCCCGGGGCUCAACCCCGGAACUGCUUUCGAAACUGCUGAGCUAGAGUGCGGAAGAGGCAACUGGAAUUCCCAGUGUAGCGGUGAAAUGCGUAGAUAUUGGGAAGAACACCGGAGGCGAAGGCGGGUUGCUGGGCCGACACUGACGCUGAGGCGCGAAAGCCAGGGGAGCGAACGGG